rnacentral:rRNA from 1 species
CCCGAACCCGGGUGAUCUAACCAUGACCAGGAUGAAACUUGGGUGAUACCAAGUGAAGGUCCGAACCGACCGAUGUUGAAAAAUCGGCGGAUGAGUUGUGGUUAGCGGUGAAAUACCAGUCGAACCCGGAGCUAGCUGGUUCUCCCCGAAAUGCGUUGAGGCGCAGCAGUACAUGUCUAUGGGGUAAAGCACUGUUUCGGUGCGGGCUGUGAAAACGGUACCAAAUCGUGGCAAACUCUGAAUACUAGAAAUGACGGUGUAGUAGUGAGACUGUGGGGGAUAAGCUCCAUUGUCAAGAGGGAAACAGCCCAG